AAUCAACGCUGGCGGCGUGCCUAACACAUGCAAGUCGAACGCGAAAGGGGAGCAAUCCCUGAGUAGAGUGGCAAACGGGUGAGUAACGCGUGGGUGACCUGCCCUCGAGUGGGGGAUAACGUCCCGAAAGGGGCGCUAAUACCGCAUAACAUCCCGGGAUUGAACGCCUGGAGAUCGAAGCUGGGGAUCGCAAGACCUGGCGCUCGAGGAGGGGCCUACGUCCGAUUAGCUAGUUGGUGGGGUAAAAGCCUACCAAGGCGACGAUCGGUAGCCGGCCUGACGAGGGCGGACGGCCACACUGGGACUGAGACACGGCCCAGACUCCUACGGGAGGCAG
rnacentral:rRNA from 1 species